rnacentral:rRNA from 1 species
GAUGAACGCUGGCGGCGUGCCUAAUACAUGCAAGUCGAGCGAACGGACGAGAAGCUUGCUUCUCUGAUGUUAGCGGCGGACGGGUGAGUAACACGCGGAUAACCUACCUAUAAGACUGAGAUAACUUCGGGAAACCGGAGCUAAUACCGGAUAAUAUUUUGAACCGCAUGGUUCAAAAGUGAAAGACGGUCUUGCUGUCACUUAUAGAUGGAUCCGCGCUGCAUUAGCUAGUUGGUAAGGUAACGGCUUACCAAGGCAACGAUGCAUAGCCGACCUGAGAGGGUGAUCGGCCACACUGGAACUGAGACACGGUCCAGACUCCUACGGGAGGCAGCAGUAGGGAAUCUUCCGCAAUGGGCGAAAGCCUGACGGAGCAACGCCGCGUGAGUGAUGAAGGUCUUCGGAUCGUAAAACUCUGUUAUUAGGGAAGAACAUAUGUGUAAGUAACUGUGCACAUCUUGACGGUACCUAAUCAGAAAGCCACGGCUAACUACGUG